UUUCACUCAAACUCAGAGAGCGCUCUUGAAGGCGGCAGAGGGAGAUCAGAGGGACACAGAGGAGUAGUGUUUCGCUCUCGCCGAUAAAAGUGAGCAAGUGGUCGAAGCGGAAACGUAAAUGGAAGACAAGAACAGGUCCGAGGGCAAAGACGCAGUGACACAAAACUUUCGAUCUCCUGGUCAGACACUUUUUUGGGUGUUUUUCGAGGAUAAAAGAAGCACGUGAACGCAACGUGUUAACUUCGUUCUCUCCUGUAAAAGGUUGCUAUGGUGAACAGCCGUGUGGAGGUGCCCACAGUGGCGAUGAUGGGCAGUGGCAGUGGGGCAGCCUGCAGGUCAUGUGCUGGAUGUGGAGGUCGCAUCUCGGACAGGUUUCUGCUCUUUUCGAUGGAGCGAUACUGGCACACACGCUGUCUCAAGUGCUCCUGCUGCCAGGCCCAGCUGGGAGAGUACAGCAGCACCUGCUACAGCAAAGGAGGCAUGAUCCUCUGCAAGAACGACUACAUCAGACUGUAUGGACACAGUGGAGCCUGCAGUGCUUGUGGUCAGUCUAUUCCCGCCAGUGAGAUGGUGAUGAGAGCACAAGGCAAUGUCUACCACCUUAAAUGCUUCACUUGUGCAACCUGUAGGAACCGCCUGGUCCCAGGAGACCGCUUUCACUACAUAAACGGCACAAUAUUUUGUGAACACGACCGGCCUGGAGGAGGUCUACUGAGUGGACACGCUACUCCAAUCCAGCCAAACAGCAUGAUGCCUGACCAGAAGGUGUGCCCAUAAUAACAGUAUGCUGAAGUUGUGGAUCAAAAACCAAAUGUGCCUUUAGCCUGGACAUUGGACAUUGUUGUAAAUCUGUGCUCCCUCAAGAAAUAUCUAAAGACUGAGGUAACUGAGAUGUGUUCGAGGGAAAUAGAAAUGUGAAGGAUGAACUAUUGAUGCAGAAACUGAGACUGUUGUCAUUCUUCUAAAGGACUCAUGUUAAAAUGGCAAUAUUGCCUAAAAUGGAUCUACAACACAACAGAAAAGACUGUUUUUCUGAGAGAGGAGAAAUGAGUAGUAAGUAACCACACAGGCAGAGAGAGCAGAGGAGGCACACAUGAGUAGCCAGCUGUGACUUUUCAAAUUAACAGAGAGCUGGAGCACUCAGCAGCUCCUCACGCGGGGUAAGUCCAAUUAGCCGCACAUUCACAGCAACAAUGAGGCUUUUAAUGGUAAUGUUUCAAAGUGCUCUUUCAUAAUGAUGCCGGGUGAGCACAUUCCUUUGGUUUUUCAGUCUUCACCGACUCAGAGCACGGCACAGACAGAAACAAGCCCUGUGAGAUCAGUAUUGUGUUUUCUAAUUGUUAUCCACAGUAAUGAGGCCUGCUUCACCCUGAUAUGCUGCACUUUCUUUUAAAUGUAUGUUUUUACACUACAGUGAUAAAUGAGUUCAUUAUAUAUGGGUGGAGCUCUGUUCUUUUUGGGUUUGUAAUAUUUGAAAUUGAGAUGAAUAAAACCAAAACUCAAAGGCUUACAUUAAUUUAGCACAUGGCAUCUGUGUUGUCGUUGACAUUUUAACACAUAUUAUUAGAUUAAUCUCUUUGUGUUUGGUUUAUACAAUAUUGCAUUAAAGUGAACAUGUAAUGUAAUAUAAUUUAUCCAGACUUGGGAUAAAUAUAUUAUGAUUCACAAAGGUCAGCAUUUCUGUGCUGGGGUGCAUGCUGCUGUGUCCUUGGGCAAGACCACCAUGUAUGAAUGUGUGUGAAAGAAUUAGUAGAGUUUGGAGGGAGCGAUGAUGCAGAUUGGCACCCCUGCUUCGGCAGCUGUGGCUGCGAAUAGACCAUUAAGAAUGGAGUGGAAAGUUAUUAAGUGAAAUGUAAACUAUUAGCCCAUUACUGAUUGCCAAUGUUAACCUAUACUGAAAUAUAAUUUUAAAUUAUAUGUAUUUAAUACUGAAGACGGCUGUAUUGCAAGUCCAUCAUACCAGAAAAAAAAAAUUAACUUGUAUUAUGUGUGGGCUGGUGUAGUAUUUUUGUGAGGCAUGUCAUUACAACAGUACUGGAGGUGUUACUGAAGUGAUUGAAUGCACUGAGUACAGGGAGUUUUUAAUGAUCCCAGAGCUACUAUUAAACAUUCAGUGCUGGAGGGCUGGUUGAGAGAAAACUUCCUUUUUGUCAGUUCACAAAAGUCUGUUGGUGAUAACACAUCAUUAGCGGCAAUAGUAAGAAUGCAGAUUUAUUCAACAUGCAGCAUAUGUUUGUUCAUAAACUCAUUACUUUUGCACUGUAGCAACGAUCUUUAUUCUCACGCAGCUAAUGAGGUGCAAUCUUUCACAACUUUCUCUUUUUUUUAAUUGGAUCAAUAUCCAUUGAGAUUAAUACAUAUUUUUCUGGUCAUCAAAAAUUUUUGAUAAUUUCCCAGGAUGAGUCAUCUGUGACGCAGUGAAGAACAAAUAUAAGGCCAAUUGCAAGUCAAACAUUAAAAACUUCUCAGCUACUCCUGCUAAUUGGCCCUUGAAUACAUCAAGCUAAUUAGUGAUAUGCAGAUGGGGCUGUGCUGGUUUGAGUGUGGCAUGAGAUGUGCCCCAUGGCGGGAGAGUGGAAGACCCCCCUCUCCUUAUCAAGAUCCGAGGAUAAUUGCAGUUAAAGUCAUUUGCAUGUGUUAAUGAAUUUGUCUUAUGCUUUUCAAGAUCACAGGCAAAGAGUAAAUAAUUGAUUUCCUGUCACUAUAAAGACUGAGUAUCUACCAAAGAGUGGACAACAAAUAACAAUCAGAUCUAAAUAUUGAUAAACACAUGAACACAUAUGAGAAACAUGGGAGAGGAAAAGAAGACCAAGACUUUGCCUCCUUGCUAAAGUUAAAAGAGGAGCUGUCUUUAAAUAUAUAUUAUAGGAGCUCACUUUAAAGCUAGGGCAUGUAACAAGCACUUUUAGAAAAAUCACAAUCACAUCAAAACUUUGGUUGCUGGCAACCCAAAGAAGUGACUCAUGUGAGUCCCUUUCAGAUGUCGGUAGAUCAAUUUCUUUGUAAAUACAGCUUAUUAUUCAUGUUGUACCUCACUAAGGCCCAUAGGUCCACCCUCCUGAAACCCCUGGCAGGCAGUGUCAGACAUACAUUUGGUCUACCACAGUUUGGUAAGUCUCCAGACUAAACCUAUAUGUAGUUAGUUAGUUUCAUCAAACUUUCUUAUGUUAACUCAUUUAAUUUUGCUGAGUGCAAAAUUAUCAGCAUGUCCUUAGUCGCAGGGCCCUUAAUAGCAAUAGUUUUCUGGUUACUUAUUAAACUACUUCAUGACUUGGUUUUUGGUUUUUGUUAAGACAUAUACUUCUGAAGUGUAAUAGCCUCAAAUUUGCGACAUUUAUUUAAAAUUUGAACAUAUAAGGACGGGGUGCUGCCUUUAAAAAGAGGGUUGUUGAUGAGGCGAUGGGGGGAUGGGUAGUAAUUUCCUCCAAUCAGAGUACUUUGAAUAAUUAAACUGAUCAAGUUAAUUAUCUCAAUUAGGCUGAUUUGACCACGGAACACUGCCAUAUGGUGCAAGGAAACAAAAAAGGGGGGAACUAAUUAAAAGUAAAAUAAUGAGGAUUUUAAUUAACUGGUUCCCCAGACGUCAGCAAGUGGGGAUGUGAAGUUGUAAUUAAAAAGUCCUGUAGCGCUGGCAACAUUCACUGCUUCCCUGUUUUAAUAACGGCAAGGGCUCCAUCCAUCUAAUUAAACCUGUAAAUGAAUUAGCAACAUCCAGGGUCACACCCUGCCUCCCGCUGCAGUCCUCCAGAUCGUUUCUAUAAUUCUGUAAUAAAAAUAUUGUACAUGAUAAUUAAAGGGAUGGCUCUUAUGCAAACACACCAUUUCCUUUCAGUCAAUUGCAAAUCAAGAGACUCAAGGGCCAUUACAAGUACAACACAGAGCAAUUUAUGUUAUAUGAUGCAUCGGUCAGGCAAAUGGCCAUAGUUCAUGCAGCUGUUAGCAAAUGAGGAGACUCUUUGGGUGUACUUAUUGAAGGACUGAUACCAUAGAAAGAGAUGUUAUUAUAAUUUUCCACAGUAUAAAACCCAUCUUCAUGGAAACAAAUGACACAACCAGAGAAAGUACUGGUUGGAUGUAACACGACAUAACAGGCAGAUCCUCCAAAAGAAAUGAAAGUAUGAAAAUGAAAAUAUUUCUAUUUUUGAUGCCCAGUUUUAAAAGUAUUGUGGUUUUAGUGAAGUUCUCAUGUUUAUCUUUCUAAGAGGAUUAGAAAAAAAAAAUUAGGGACAAUAUAUAAUCAAUUUAAUCAAAUAAAUAUUUUUUUAACAAUGUCACAAACAAGAAUUUGAUUAAACUGAAAACAAAAUAAAUAUGAAUGAAUUUUUACUGCACCUUACUCUUGUGCUUAAGUCAUAUGUCUCAGCUCCAGCAUGUCUCCUUGUGAGUGCACUGUGCAGGGCUGCAAAUUGCAUCUGUUCCUAAUUACAGAGUGCUAAUGAAAGCCUGUACUCCUGGUGGGUCUACUGAGGAUCGCCUCGGCACCUCCACUAUGUCACACAUGAGAGGCCAGAGCCAUAAACAAAAUAAAACACACUCUUUGGCCAAAUGAAUAUGGAGGUGAAAGGGGCCAUUUGAAGGACAUGCUAACUGACCAUGCUGCAAUGCUUUUUCACUUGUCAUUUUAUAAGCUCUCUUAGUAGAAAGUUUUGUCUUUACAGUGGAUUUUGGAAGGGAGCUUUGGGUUGUCAGUAUCAAUACCCAGAAAAGAAAUGGAUAUUAAAACUACUAUCAACAAACAAGUGUCUAUACUGAAAAAAGAUAAGUCACUAGGGCUUAUCUAACAGGGCUUUAAACUGUAUUAUAAUACUAUUACCUCCUCAAAACCAUACCUGAAAAAUGCAUCACAAAUCAGAGUGACAUCUUUUUUCAACUCAACAAGAAUUCAAGCCCUCUGGUCUGAUGAGCACCUGUAUGCAUACGUUUUGAUCCAUUUUCACCAUUUUUAUACUUGGAGCUGUGUUUUAUUUAUUCAUACACUUUCAUCCUUUAUUAUUACCGUAAUCUGUCUACAUCUCUGAAGCGUAAAAAGCUCUGUUUCACUUCAUGAUGUCAUGAAGUGGUAGUUUUCAAGUUAACAGCUAUCUUUUACCUUUAGAUCAGUAGAGAUUGGCAACUCUAUUGGCAAGGGUGAAAUUAUCCAAAUAAUUCUAGUGAAGGUGUAUGGGGUUCAAAAACAGUGGAGCUCUUCCUAUAUUGCCACAUGACAACCCAAGGUGGAACAGAGUGUUUUCGGUUUGUGAAAAAUAUGCAGGGUUUGUGUGUUUGUGUGUGUGUGAGUGAAACAAAACACAACUCUGGGUAUGUUUGUGAUGAGGAAACAACAUGAUAAUCGCAUAAACAGCAUAUAGAUCCCUUUAAAUGAUCUUAAUCUAUAUCAGAAUUAGUAUAAAUCCAUAUUAUAAGAUUAUGGAAACUAGUUGCUUUGUGUUGAUAAUUAGACAAUAAAGUGUAAUUACCCACAUAUUACAACUGUAGUUUCAUUCAAGUGUUAUAUUGUCCCCCAUGAUAUUGAAAUUAUUACUGAGCAUCAAGCAAGCUUUUUCUUUAGGGUUGAAAUCAAGGUUGCUGAGUGGCCUAUUGGUUGCUCACAGAGGAGACUGGGUACAACUCAAUGAAUUGUGGCCUAAAUCAAAACUAGUAUGGGGACAAUAUAUUAAUAGGAGACAACUUAACGUGGUGAUUUUUUUCAUACGUAUUGCAAAAGUGAGUGUUUUUGUUUUUAUUUGUUUUAUUUUUACUUGUACAUAAACUUUUAUAUAAUUAUGCCUACCUCUCUUAUUGUUUUUGUUAUUAUAAUAUAUUGUUAUGUGUGAGCUACUGUGUCUACAUUUUAAUUGUGGAUCAAUAAAGUUUUUUCUAAGUUUGUGCCUCUUUUUUUUUUUUUUUUUUUAUAUUUAACAGCCACUGAUGAACAAUUUAUUUUACAGGCUCAUUUGCAGGGCUACUCUUACUCCAUCCAUAGCACCACCUGGACUGUCUUGUGUUCCCCACCUAAUCACUUUAACUAUAACAAUAUUUAUUUUCCCUCACAGCUGGUCAUUUCUGUGUGCUGCAACCCUACCCCUCUGUUCUAUCAUUGGCCCCACAGCUAGCACUACAUCUCCCAUAGUUCCCCCUUAAAUCGAUAUCCCAGUUACAAUAUCACUAAUGUGCCUAACUACCUUGUUAAAUUGACACACAAGCCAACAACCAAAGCAGAGGCU